rnacentral:lncRNA from 1 species
GCCUCUUCUCCCUAUUAAGGCCCUGCCGGAGGCCUCUUCUCCCUAUUAAGGCCCUGAUGGAGGCCUCUUCUCCCUAUUAAGGCCCUGGUGGAGGCAUGCCUCUUCUCUUUAUUAAGGCCCUGCUGGAGGCCUCUUCUCCCUAUUAAGGCCCUGGUGGAGGCCUCUUCUCUUUAUUAAGGCCCUGGUGGAGGCCUCUUCUCCCUAUUAAGGCCCUGGUGGAGGCAUGCCUCUUCUCUCUAUUAAGGCCCUGGUGGAGGCUUCUUCUCCCUAUUAAGUGUUGGGUUAGUCAACUGUCAGGUUGUCCAGCAUCAAUGUCCUGGUGGGACUUUUGCCUGGUAGCAAGGCAAUGGCCCCGGGCCCUGUAUCCAUAGAGACUGCUACUCUUAUUUAUCUAGAUUCAGCUCCCAUGCAGGCCUCUGUUUGAUGGGAAAUCCCUGUCUCGCAUUUCGCCUCCAGUUUGCAGGAUAAUUGUCAGUUUUGUGCUUAGGGAUAGAGUGAGUGGGAGGAAGGUGUUUGCGCUCGAACUGAAAACUCUGACAUUUAGAAGCGAGGAUCAGGGGAACUGCCAUGAUCUGAGAGGUGUUGUGGUUCACUGUCACGGUCAUUUGUGUACUAGACUUAAUUUAUCAAAUCUAUUGCCAAAUAGGAAGCUACUAUUCUGCAGGUGGCAGAAAAUAUGGUGGUGUCCCUGUGGGACACAUCAGGUAAUAUAGCACUUGCCAAGCUUUAAUAAACAACGUCAGGUAACAUAACACUGACCAAGCUUUAAUAAACAACGUCAG